UUCGCCCUUUUCCGGUUGAUCCCGCCGGACCUGACUGCUAUCGGAUUGAUACUAAGGCAUGCGAGUCAUUGUAGCAAUACAAGGCAUACGGCUCAGUAAUGCGUAGUCAACCUAACCUAUGGACGGGAAUAACCUCGGGAAACUGAGAAUAAUGCCCGAUAGAACACUAUACCUGGAAUGGUUUGUGUUCCAAAUGAUUUAUCGCCGUAGGAUGGGACUGCGGCCUAUCAGUUUGUUGGUGAGGUAAUGGCCCACCAAGACUAUUACAGGUACGGGCUCUGAGAGGAGUAGCCCGGAGAUGGGUACUGAGACACGGACCCAGGGCCUAUGGGGCGCAGCAGGCGAGAAAACUUUGCAAUGUGCGAAAGCACGACAAGGUUAAUCCGAGUGAUUUGUGCUAAACGAAUCUUUUGUUAGUCCUAGAACCACUAACGAAUAAGGG
rnacentral:rRNA from 1 species